rfam:Oryza glaberrima chromosome 7 Oglab07_0049_4, whole genome shotgun sequence.
AAUAUUUGACGCCGUUGACUUUUUUAAAUAUGUUUGAUCGUUCGUCUUAUUCAAAAAAUUUAAGUAAUUAAUAAUUCUUUUCCUAUCAUUUGAUUCAUCGUUAAAUAUACUUAUACUUAUACAUAUAGUUUUACAUAUUUCUCAAAAGUUUUUGAAUAAGACGAACGGUCAAACAUGUGCUAAAAAAUCAACGGCGACAAAUAUU